UGUCUGUGUGACUCUGCUUCCGGCAGAGGAC
rnacentral:sRNA from 1 species